CCUACGGGAGGCAGCAGUGGGGAAUAUUGCGCAAUGGGCGAAAGCCUGACGCAGCGACGCCGCGUGAGGGAUGAAGGUCUUCGGAUCGUAAACCUCUGUCAGCAGGGAAGAACGGUCACUGUGCUAAUCAGCAGUGAAUUGACGGUACCUGCAAAGGAAGCACCGGCUAACUCCGUGCCAGCAGCCGCGGUAAUACGGAGGGUGCGAGCGUUAAUCGGAAUUACUGGGCGUAAAGCGCUCGUAGGCGGUAUGUCAAGUCAAGGGUGAAAUCCCCGCGCUCAACGUGGGAACUGCCUUUGAAACUGGCAGACUGGAGUGUGUGAGAGGAUAGUGGAAUUCGAGGUGUAGGAGUGAAAUCCGUAGAUAUCUGGAGGAACAUCAGUGGCGAAGGCGACUAUCUGGCACAUAACUGACGCUGAGGAGCGAGAGCGUGGGUAGCAAACAGGAUUAGAUACCCCGGUAGUC
rnacentral:rRNA from 1 species